UACGAAGGGGGCUAGCGUUGUUCGGAAUUACUGGGCGUAAAGGGCGCGUAGGCGGUGUGUCAAGUCAGGCGUGAAAGCCCCGGGCUCAGCCUGGGAACCGCGCUUGAGACUGGCACGCUCGAGUUCGGGAGAGGAUGGUGGAAUUCCCAGUGUAGAGGUGAAAUUCGUAGAUAUCGGGAGGAACACCGGUGGCGAAGGCGGCCCCCUGGUUGGAUACUGACGCUGAGACGCGAAAGCGUGGGGAGCAAACAGG
rnacentral:rRNA from 1 species